UUCAUACUGGAAUGAGGCCUUAUGAGUGC
rnacentral:piRNA from 1 species